AUUGAACGCUGGCGGCAUGCCUAACACAUGCAAGUCGAGCGAGCGGCGGACGGGUGAGUAAUGUCUGGGAAACUGCCGGAUGGAGGGGGAUAACUACUGGAAACGGUAGCUAAUACCGCAUACCAUCAGAUGUGCCCAGAUGGGAUAAGCUAGUAGGUGGGGUAACGGCUCACCUAGGCGACGAUCCCUAGCUUGUCUGAGAGGAUGACCAGCCAAUCUGGAAAGUAGACACGAUCUAGAAUCGUACGGGAGGCGGUUGUGGGGAAUAUUGCACAAUGGGCGCAGGCCUGAUGCAGCCAUGCCGCGUUUGGGAAGAAGGCGUUCGGGUUGUAAAGCACUUUCAGCGGGGAGACGUUACCCACAGAAGAAGCACCGGCUAACUCCGUGCCAGCAGCCGCGGUAAGAC
rnacentral:rRNA from 1 species